CCUACGGGAGGCAGCAGUGGGGAAUUUUGGACAAUGGGCGCAAGCCUGAUCCAGCCAUGCCGCGUGUGGGAAGAAGGCCUUCGGGUUGUAAACCACUUUUGUCAGGGAAGAAACGGCCUUUUCUAAUACAGGGGGCUAAUGACGGUACCUGAAGAAUAAGCACCGGCUAACUACGUGCCAGCAGCCGCGGUAAUACGUAGGGUGCAAGCGUUAAUCGGAAUUACUGGGCGUAAAGCGCACGCAGGCGGUUUGUUAAGUCAGAUGUGAAAUCCCCGGGCUCAACCUGGGAACUGCAUCUGAUACUGGCAAGCUUGAGUCUCGUAGAGGGGGGUAGAAUUCCAGGUGUAGCGGUGAAAUGCGUAGAGAUCUGGAGGAAUACCGGUGGCGAAGGCGGCCCCCUGGACGAAGACUGACGCUCAGGUGCGAAAGCGUGGGGAGCAAACAGGAUUAGAUACCCUGGUAGUCCACGCCCUAAACGAUGUCGACUAGUCGUUCGGGGCAGCAAUGCACUGAGUGACGCAGCUAACGCGUGAAGUCGACCGCCUGGGGAGUACGGCCGCAAGGUUAAAACUCAAAGGAAUUGACGG
rnacentral:rRNA from 1 species